AGAGCCCUGCUGUUGGAUGUUCCUGUAGAUUUUUCUGACAGUGCGUUGCAGAGCCAUUCUUCACAAGUUAUUACGAGUAAACAUGAAGAAAGAAGCUUCCAUAGCAAGACAGUACUAAACCAGCUCCUCUUCAAAAUCUUUACCAAAAUUAUGUUGUGUGACCGGGUGCAAAGGAAAUUACCGGACGGGACCAAAAGUGCAAGUUUUUACAUUUCCAAAGGAAGAAAAAUUAUUAGAAAAAUGGAAACUGGCUAUCCCAAGGGAAAAUUUAACAAUCAGCAAAACAACAAAUGUGUGUGAACAGCAUUUUCACCCUCAUGAAAUUAUAACAUCAUCUCAAGAUGUCAGAAGAAAUGGAGACGUUCCUCGCACCCUUGCAAGACCAAGUUUGCUUUCAACAGCAGUUCUUCAGUUUUUCCGAGCUGCCCUCACUAUUUGAGCAAACCUCCAAGCUACAGAAUUGGCCCUGAGGUAAAGAGACAGAAACUUGAAGAGCAAAAUAUUCAGGCAGCUGUUCAGGAUAGUCUGAAGGAAAGGGAAAUAUAUUUAACAGCUCAGUCCAUUGGAUCACUGUAUGAGUUAAAGGCAAAACUGUCAAUGUUAACACUAUCUGAUUUCUGUAGUAUCAUUACAAAACCUACAUCUGUAUUGUUUGCAAAAAUUCAGACAGUUCCUUCUCCUGUGAUAAAAUAUUCUGUUCUUGUUAGUGAAGGCCUUGAUGUAUCCGUAUUUGUCCUGAACAAGCAGAAAACAAAAUAGGACUAAAUGGCAACAAAGUUUUAACAAGGGUUUCAAGCAUUCUUGAAUUAGGUAGUGUGUUAGACUGUGUGGAAGAAGCUGACAUGCAGAUUAAUGUUCCUAAUAUUAUUGAACAAAUUUUGAGUUAUGUAUGUGACAUUCUGCAGACACUUAAUUUAUCUGAGUAUGAAAAGAGCAAAAACAUACACUUUAUAAUUGAACAUUUGAAAUUACUAUCAUCAAAGAAAAUUUCAUACACUCCAUCAUUCAUGAUAUUUUCGUGUUUAUCUUACAGUAUUUCCCCAUGUGCUUAUAGGUUUAAUAGAGAUUAUGGUUUUUUUGUAGGCCCUCAUCCAUCAACAAUUCAAAGAGUGUGUUCUAGUAUUAACAUAGGCUCCCAGAAAGAGCAAUAUGAAAAUAAUUUUUUAUCAUAUACAAGAGGUAAAUUUAAAUUUCAUGAAUCACAUGAAUAUCAUGUCAACCUUUUAAUAGAUGAGAUACAUCUAAAAGAAUAUUUUGACUAUAAAGGAGG